AAAGUCUUUGAGUUCACUUGCUAAAUUUGGAAUGAUAUAGAGAUUCUCAUGGCCCCUAUGCAAGGAUGACAUGCAAAUUAAUGAAGUAGUCUAUAUUUUA
ensembl:snRNA LOC120100188 U6 spliceosomal RNA